CCUACGGGUGGCAGCAGUGAGGAAUAUUGGUCAAUGGACGAGAGUCUGAACCAGCCAAGUAGCGUGAAGGAUGACUGCCCUAUGGGUUGUAAACUUCUUUUAUAUGGGAAUAAAACAGGGUAUGCAUACCCUUUUGUGUGUACCAUAUGAAUAAGGAUCGGCUAACUCCGUGCCAGCAGCCGCGGUAAUACGGAGGAUCCGAGCGUUAUCCGGAUUUAUUGGGUUUAAAGGGAGCGUAGGUGGAUUGUUAAGUCAGUUGUGAAAGUUUGCGGCUCAACCGUAAAAUUGCAGUUGAAACUGGCAGUCUUGAGUGCAGUAGAGGUGGGCGGAAUUCGUGGUGUAGCGGUGAAAUGCUUAGAUAUCACGCAGAACUCCGAUUGCGAAGGCAGCACACUGGAGCGCAACUGACACUGAUGCUCGAAAGUGUGGGUAUCAAACAGGAUUAGAUACCCGAGUAGUC
rnacentral:rRNA from 1 species